GACGAACGCUGGCGGCGUGCCUAAUACAUGCAAGUUGAGCGAUGAAGCUUGGUGCUUGCACCAAUUUGAAGAGCAGCGAACGGGUGAGUAACGCGUGGGGAAUCUGCCUUUGAGCGGGAGACAACAUUUGGAAACGAAUGCUAAUACCGCAUAACAACUUUAAACAUAAGUUUUAAGUUUGAAAGAUGCAAUUGCAUCACUCAAAGAUGAUCCCGCGUUGUAUUAGCUAGUUGGUGAGGUAAAGGCUCACCAAGGCGAUGAUACAUAGCCGACCUGAGAGGGUGAUCGGCCACAUUGGGACUGAGACACGGCCCAAACUCCUACGGGAGGCAGCAGUAGGGAAUCUUCGGCAAUGGACGAAAGUCUGACCGAGCAACGCCGCGUGAGUGAAGAAGGUUUUCGGAUCGUAAAACUCUGUUGGUAGAGAAGAACGUUGGUGAGAGUGGAAAGCUCAUCAAGUGACGGUAACUACCCAGAAAGGGACGGCUAACUACGUG
rnacentral:rRNA from 1 species